UUCACUGGUGUUCGGGUUGUCAUGCCAAUGGCACUGCCCGGUAGCUAAAUGCGGAAGAGAUAAGUGCUGAAAGCAUCUAAGCACGAAACUUGCCCCGAGAUGAGUUCUCCCUGAGACUUUAGGUCUCCUGAAGGAACGUUGAAGACGACGACGUUGAUAGGCCGGGUGUGUAAGCGCAGCGAUGCGUUGAGCUAACCGGUACUAAUGAACCGUGAGGCUUAACCUU
rnacentral:rRNA from 1 species